rnacentral:rRNA from 1 species
CGGCAGGCUUAACACAUGCAAGUCGAACGAAGUCUUCGGACUUAGUGGCAGACGGGUGAGUAACGCGUGGGAACCUACCCUUUGGUACGGAACAACAGUUGGAAACGACUGCUAAUACCGUAUGAGCCCUACGGGGGAAAGAUUUAUCGCCAAAGGAUGGGCCCGCGUUGGAUUAGCUAGUUGGUGGGGUAAAAGCCUACCAAGGCGACGAUCCAUAGCUGGUCUGAGAGGAUGAUCAGCCACACUGGGACUGAGACACGGCCCAGACUCCUACGGGAGGCAGCAGUGGGGAAUAUUGGACAAUGGGGGCAACCCUGAUCCAGCCAUGCCGCGUGAGUGAUGAAGGCCCUAGGGUUGUAAAGCUCUUUCAGCGAGGAGGAUAAUGACGUUCUCGCAGAAGAAGCCCCGGCUACUUCGUGCCAGCAGCCGCGGUAUACCAAGGGGGCUAG